AUUGAACGCUGGCGGCAUGCCUUACACAUGCAAGUCGAACGGCAGCACGGGAGCAAUCCUGGUGGCGAGUGGCGAACGGGUGAGUAAUAUAUCGGAACGUGCCCAGUCGUGGGGGAUAACGCAGCGAAAGCUGUGCUAAUACCGCAUACGAUCUAAGGAUGAAAGCGGGGGAUCGCAAGACCUCGCGCGAUUGGAGCGGCCGAUAUCAGAUUAGCUAGUUGGUGGGGUAAAGGCCCACCAAGGCGACGAUCUGUAGCUGGUCUGAGAGGACGGACAGACACAAUGGAACUGUGACACGGUCCAGACUCCUGCGGGAGGCAGCAGUGGGGAAUUUUGGACAAUGGGCGCAAGCCUGAUCCAGCAAUGCCGCGUGCAGGAUGAAGGCCUUGGGGUUGUAAACUGCUUUUGUACGGAACGAAACGGCGCUUUCUAAUACAAGGGGCUAAUGACGGUACCGUAAGAAUAAGCACCGGCUAACUACGUGCCAGCAGCCGCCGUAACAC
rnacentral:rRNA from 1 species